rnacentral:rRNA from 1 species
CCUACGGGGGGCUGCAGUGAGGAAUAUUGGUCAAUGGGCGGGAGCCUGAACCAGCCAAGCCGCGUGAGGGAAGAAGGUACAGCGUAUCGUAAACCUCUUUUGUCAGGGAACAAAGGCGGGGACUAGUCCCCGGAUGAGGGUACCUGAAGAAAAAGCAUCGGCUAACUCCGUGCCAGCAGCCGCGGUAAUACGUAGGGGGCAAGCGUUAUCCGGAUUUACUGGGUGUAAAGGGAGCGUAGACGGCUUGGCAAGCCAGAUGUGAAAGGCUGGGGCUCAACCCCAGGACUGCAUUUGGAACUGUCAUGCUAGAGUGUCGGAGAGGCAGGCGGAAUUCCUAGUGUAGCGGUGAAAUGCGUAGAUAUUAGGAGGAACACCAGUGGCGAAGGCGGCCUGCUGGACGAUGGCUGACGUUGAGGCUCGAAAGCGUGGGGAGCAAACAGGAUUAGAUACCCUAGUAGUC